AUGUCGAUAUACAUCAGUCGCAGAGACAAAGUCCUGAAAGAAGUCACACUUGAUGUCACGACCUUGUUACUAUUAGUGUCAGACAAAGUAUGUUUAAAAAUCGUUUGUGUCCUCUCUUCUCUUGUGUCCUCUCUUCUCUUGUUUCUUCUCUUGUGUCCUCUCCUUCCUCUCUCCUUCCUCUCUUGUUCUCUCGUGUCCUCUCCUUCCUCUCUCCUUCCUCUCUUGUUCUCUCGUGUCCUCUCCUUCCUCUCUUGUUCUCUCGUGUCCUCUCCUCUCUUGUGUCCUCCUCUUCUUCUCGUGUCCUCUCCUUCCUCUCCUCUCUUGUGUCUUCUCUUGUGUCCUCUCCUCUCUUGUGUCCUCUCCUUUGUCUCCUCUCUUGUGUCCUCCUCCUCUCUUGUGUCCUCUCCUUUGUCUCCUCUCUUGUGUCCUCUCCUUCCUCUCCUCUCUUGUGUCCUCUCCUCUCUUGUGUCCUCUCUUGUGUCCUCUCCUUCCUCUCCUCUCUUGUGUCCUCUCCUUCGUCUCCUCUCUUGUGUCCUCUCCUCUCUUGUGUCCUCUCCUUCCUCUCCUUUCUUGUGUCCUCUCCUCUCUUGUGUCCUCCUCCUCUCUUGUGUCCUCUGCUCUCUUGUGUCCUCUCCUUCGUCUCCUCUCUUGUGUCCUCCUCCUCUCUUGUAUCCUCUCCUUCCUCUCCUCUCUUGUGUCCUCUCCUUCGUCUCCUCUCUUGUGUCCUCUCCUUCCUCUCCUCUCUUGUGUCCUCUUCUCUCUUGUGUCCUCUCCUCUCUUGUGUCCUCUUCUCUCUUGUGUCCUCUCCUUCAUCUCCUCUCUUGUGUCCUCUCCUUCCUCUCCUCUCUUGAGUCCUCUCUUGUGUCCUCUCCUUCGUCUCCUCUCUUGUGUCCUCUCCUUCCUCUCCUCUCUUGUGUCCUCUCCUCUCUUGUGUCCUCUCUUGUGUCCUCUCCUUCGUCUCCUCUCUUGUGUCCUCCUCCUCUCUUGUGUCCUCUUCUCUCUUGUGUCCUCUCCUUCGUCUCCUCUCUUGUGUCCUCUCCUCCUCUCUUGUGUCCUCUCUUUCCUCUCCUCUCUUGUGUCCUAUCCUUCGUCUCCUCUCUUGUGUCCUCUUCUCUCUUGUGUCCUCUCCUCUCUUGUGUCCUCUCCUUCCUCUCCUCUCGAGUCCUCUCUUGUGUCCUCUCCUUCGUCUCCUCUCUUGUGUCCUCUCCUCUCUUGUGUCCUCUCCUCUCUUGUGUCCUCCUCCUCUCUUGUGUCCUCUUCUCUCUUGUGUCCUCCUCCUCUCUUGUGUCCUCUUCUCUUUGUGUCCUCUCCUUCGUCUCCUCUCUUGUGUUCUCUUCUCUCUUGUGUCCUCUCCUCUCUUGUGUCCUCUCCUCUCUUGUGUCCUCCUCCUCUCUUGUGUCCUCCUCCUCUCUUGUGUCCUCUUCUCUCUUGUGUCCUCUCCUCUCUUCUCCUCUCCUCCCCUUCCGUUUCCGGUUUGUGUGA
rnacentral:lncRNA from 1 species